UCUCCGUUGGUGAACCAGCGGAGGGAUCAUUAUAGAGUUUAUUCUCUCCAACCCAUGUGAACGUACUACGUUGCCUCGGCGGCACGAGCCCCCUCUUCGGUAGGGGCCCGCUUCCGCCGGAGGAAAGCAAACUCUUGUUUAAUUUGUAUUCUGAAAUAACUAGCAAAUAGUUAAAACUUUCAACAACGGAUCUCUUGGUUCUGGCAUCGAUGAAGAACGCAGCGAAAUGCGAUAAGUAAUGUGAAUUGCAGAAUUCAGUGAAUCAUCGAAUCUUUGAACGCACAUUGCGCUCUCCAGUAUUCUGGAGAGCAUGCCUGUUCGAGCGUCAUUUCAACCCUCAAGCAUCGCUUGGUGAUGGGGACCGCCGCGGCGGCCCCCCGAAAUUAGUGGCGGAGCUGGAUAGCACUCUGAGCGUAGUAACAUUAUCUCGCUUUUGAAGGCUUCCGGCCUCCCUAGCCGUAAAAUUAAUUUUUUUUAUUCAGGUUUGACCUCGGAUCAGGUAGGAAUACCCGCUGAACUUAA
rnacentral:sRNA from 1 species